CCAGACGGCCAUAGGGACUUGGUUCUACCCGAUCCCAUUUCGAACUCGGAAGUCAAGCAAGCCUCCGUUCCAUGCUGUACUGUUCUCAGAACGGGAAACAUGGAAAGCUGUCACCU
rnacentral:rRNA from 1 species